UUCUAGUCAAGAUUCUAGUUUCCAUUAGAGCACCCAAAAUUAAAGUUUAUUUUAUAUUAGGAUAUAUUUGCAUACUAGAAAAGCAAGACAUUCACAUGUCUAUGAAAAUUGUUCUAGUCAAUACUUUUGUCGUUAAUAACCACCUGGAGAGCCACCAUGUGUGUUCAAUAGCCAUUUAUAAUAAGAAGGUGCUACAUUCUCCAUUUAUCAACUGCCAUGUGCCUGACAGGUGUUAAUAAGAUGGCUUAUCCAAAACAGGACAAUUGGCUAUAUAAAUUUAGCCAUGGUACUACUAAUUUACUGUGUUCUUUUUUUAAAAUGGAAAAGAUGCCCUGUAUAUUAUCUUUUUUGCAAAAACCUGUCUUUUCUUAUGGUUUCAUUAAUAUGAAAUAUUUAUUUGAGUUGUAACCAAUUUAGUACAACAUGUGUUCACUGGCUCAGUUUCUAUGUGUCAGGGGCAAGGCAUGAGUUCACUGGGUCUUCUAUAAAGCUGCAGUCAAGCGUCAGCCAGGGCUGCAUUCUCAUAUGGAGACUCAGCUAGGGAAGGAUCUGCCCCUCCGCUGUCAUGAUUGGAAGCAUCCAGUUCUUUAUUGUUGUAAAAUUCAUGUUUUCUUGCUUCUUCAAAGUGGUAUAGGAGACAUACUCUAGAGCAGUCCUGCUAGUGAAAGGGAGACUUAUGUAAUGCACCAUAACCAAGAGCAUGACAUCCUGUAUCUGUGCCAUAACUUCUUCCUUAGAAGCAAGUCAAAGAUCCUGCUCACACUCAAGGUGAAAAGGAUAUAUAAGGCUCAUGAACCAAGGGAUUAGGAGGCACCUUAAAAGUCUGCCCACAACAGAACUAUAUCCAUAUUGGUGUUCCCUAAAAUACUGAUGAGAAUUUUAAGGUACGGAUGGUCUCUGACUUACUAUCGUUCAACCAAGGAUUUUUUAAACUUCAUGAUGGUAUGAAAACAAUACACAUUCAAUAGAAACUAUUCUUUAAAUUUUUAAUUUUGAUCUUUUCCUGGCCUAUCAAUAUGCAGUAUGAUACUUUCUUGAAAUGCUAAUUAGCAGCCGUAACCCACAACUCACAAUCAACCACACGAUCAUAAUAGGAAACAACUGGUAAUCUAUACUGUGUUACUAAGCUAGGAUGUUGGGUAGAUUUGGUGUAGUCAGUGCAUUUUCAAUUUGUGGUAUUUUUAACUUGCAGUGAGUUUAUUGGGGCAUAACCUCAUCCUAAGUCAAGGAGCAUCUGUAUAAUAAUAUAUGAAGAUCCACCUUUGAGAAUGAUGUACAUACUUUUGUCCCCAAAGGCCCGUGAAUGUUGGGGAAGAAUUCAACACAGAAAUGAUGGGCUUUAUUUAAUGCACAGGCGAGUAUAGGCAUCAAGGAAUCACUGUAGCUUCAAUAAGUGAUCAUCUUAUAUGCUAAAAGAAUUCAUCACUUUGGUGUUGGAAUUUUACAGGUUUAUUAAGAAUGAACUACAUAUACUGCACACUGCUCUCUGUUCUGAAGAGAAACAAAAUUGUUGCACCUAAUUAUAGUAAUGCAUAUCUACUUUCUCUUACUGAUUUUUAAAUUUUACCUGAUUAUUUGUUAACAAAAUUAAAUGUUUGAAUUAAACUAAGAAAAUAUUUUUAAAAGAAGUUGAAUGAAAUUUGAAUUAUGAAAUUAUAUUAUUUACCCCUUAAAUAUUAAAAAUGUGCAGAUGUAUACAUUCUGUAGUGGUAUGUUUAUUACUUUAUCCCUGCUGCAUAUAUAAGUAAUAUUAG
rnacentral:lncRNA from 1 species